GGUUAAGCGACUAAGCGUACACGGUGGAUGCCCUGGCAGUCAGAGGCGAUGAAGGACGUGCUAAUCUGCGAUAAGCGUCGGUAAGGUGAUAUGAACCGUUAUAACCGGCGAUUUCCGAAUGGGGAAACCCAGUGUGUUUCGACACACUAUCAUUAACUGAAUCCAUAGGUUAAUGAGGCGAACCGGGGGAACUGAAACAUCUAAGUACCCCGAGGAAAAGAAAUCAACCGAGAUUCCCCCAGUAGCGGCGAGCGAACGGGGAGCAGCCCAGAGCCUGAAUCAGUGUGUGUGUUAGUGGAAGCGUCUGGAAAGGCGCGCGAUACAGGGUGACAGCCCCGUACACAAAAAUGCACAUGCUGUGAGCUCGAUGAGUAGGGCGGGACACGUGGUAUCCUGUCUGAAUAUGGGGGGACCAUCCUCCAAGGCUAAAUACUCCUGACUGACCGAUAGUGAACCAGUACCGUGAGGGAAAGGCGAAAAGAACCCCGGCGAGGGGAGUGAAAAAGAACCUGAAACCGUGUACGUACAAGCAGUGGGAGCACAGAGCAAUCUGUGUGACUGCGUACCUUUUGUAUAAUGGGUCAGCGACUUAUAUUCUGUAGCAAGGUUAACCGAAUAGGGGAGCCGAAGGGAAACCGAGUCUUAACUGGGCGUUAAGUUGCAGGGUAUAGACCCGAAACCCGGUGAUCUAGCCAUGGGCAGGUUGAAGGUUGGGUAACACUAACUGGAGGACCGAACCGACUAAUGUUGAAAAAUUAGCGGAUGACUUGUGGCUGGGGGUGAAAGGCCAAUCAAACCGGGAGAUAGCUGGUUCUCCCCGAAAGCUAUUUAGGUAGCGCCUCGUGAAUUCAUCUCCGGGGGUAGAGCACUGUUUCGGCAAGGGGGUCAUCCCGACUUACCAACCCGAUGCAAACUGCGAAUACCGGAGAAUGUUAUCACGGGAGACACACGGCGGGUGCUAACGUCCGUCGUGAAGAGGGAAACAACCCAGACCGCCAGCUAAGGUCCCAAAGUCAUGGUUAAGUGGGAAACGAUGUGGGAAGGCCCAGACAGCCAGGAUGUUGGCUUAGAAGCAGCCAUCAUUUAAAGAAAGCGUAAUAGCUCACUGGUCGAGUCGGCCUGCGCGGAAGAUGUAACGGGGCUAAACCAUGCACCGAAGCUGCGGCAGCGACGCUUAUGCGUUGUUGGGUAGGGGAGCGUUCUGUAAGCCUGUGAAGGUGUGCUGUGAGGCAUGCUGGAGGUAUCAGAAGUGCGAAUGCUGACAUAAGUAACGAUAAAGCGGGUGAAAAGCCCGCUCGCCGGAAGACCAAGGGUUCCUGUCCAACGUUAAUCGGGGCAGGGUGAGUCGACCCCUAAGGCGAGGCCGAAAGGCGUAGUCGAUGGGAAACAGGUUAAUAUUCCUGUACUUGGUGUUACUGCGAAGGGGGGACGGAGAAGGCUAUGUUGGCCGGGCGACGGUUGUCCCGGUUUAAGCGUGUAGGCUGGUUUUCCAGGCAAAUCCGGAAAAUCAAGGCUGAGGCGUGAUGACGAGGCACUACGGUGCUGAAGCAACAAAUGCCCUGCUUCCAGGAAAAGCCUCUAAGCAUCAGGUAACAUCAAAUCGUACCCCAAACCGACACAGGUGGUCAGGUAGAGAAUACCAAGGCGCUUGAGAGAACUCGGGUGAAGGAACUAGGCAAAAUGGUGCCGUAACUUCGGGAGAAGGCACGCUGAUAUGUAGGUGAAGUCCCUCGCGGAUGGAGCUGAAAUCAGUCGAAGAUACCAGCUGGCUGCAACUGUUUAUUAAAAACACAGCACUGUGCAAACACGAAAGUGGACGUAUACGGUGUGACGCCUGCCCGGUGCCGGAAGGUUAAUUGAUGGGGUUAGCGGUAACGCGAAGCUCUUGAUCGAAGCCCCGGUAAACGGCGGCCGUAACUAUAACGGUCCUAAGGUAGCGAAAUUCCUUGUCGGGUAAGUUCCGACCUGCACGAAUGGCGUAAUGAUGGCCAGGCUGUCUCCACCCGAGACUCAGUGAAAUUGAACUCGCUGUGAAGAUGCAGUGU
rnacentral:rRNA from 1 species